AACUAUGGCCAUGCUGCCCUGAACAAGCCCGAUCCCGUCUGAUCAUGGAAGCUAAGCAGGGUUGGGCCUGGUUAGUACUUGGAUGGGAGACCACCUAGGAAGACCAGGUGCUAUAGGCG
rnacentral:rRNA from 1 species